UACGGGGGGGGCAAGCGUUGUUCGGAAUUACUGGGCGUAAAGGGCUCGUAGGCGGCCAACUAAGUCAUACGUGAAAUCCCUCGGCUUAACCGGGGAACUGCGUCUGAUACUGGAUGGCUUGAGUUCGGGAGAGGGAUGCGGAAUUCCAGGUGUAGCGGUGAAAUGCGUAGAUAUCUGGAGGAACACCGGUGGCGAAGGCGGCAUCCUGGACCGGCAUUGACGCUGAGGCGCGAAAGCUAGGGGAGCAAACGGGG
rnacentral:rRNA from 1 species